UGCGAGUAGGAACGAAGCUGUUCGAACUCUCGGCUCAGGAUCCCGACCAGGACCUAGGUGGCGCUGUCGUCUACCAGCUCGAUGUAAAGAAUCGGGACUACUUUUACGCGGAGACGGACAGCGAAAAUCGGCUGCAAGUAUUUCUCAAGAAGCAGUUCGACUAUCAAGAGAAGUCCAUCCACGAAGUUAACAUCACAGCAUCGGAUGGAGGGGAUGAGGCCGGUUACGCACCGAUACAUCACACGAGCAUACAGAUUUACGUGGAAGUGAUCGAUGUGCCCAACAAGCCGCCAGUCUUUGUCAACCUGCCGUACUCAGUCGAGAUGCCAGAACAGCUGCCAGUG